rnacentral:rRNA from 1 species
UACAGAGGUCCCAAGCGUUGUUCGGAUUCAUUGGGCGUAAAGGGUGCGUAGGCGGCGCGGUAAGUCGGGUGUGAAAUCUCGGAGCUUAACUCCGAAACUGCGUUCGAUACUGCCGUGCUUGAGGACUGGAGAGGAGACUGGAAUUUACGGUGUAGCGGUGAAAUGCGUAGAUAUCGUAAGGAAGACCAGUGGCGAAGGCGGGUCUCUGGACAGUUCCUGACGCUGAGGCACGAAGGUCAGGGGAGCAAACGGG